AGGAUAUCAUCUUAUACUGUAAGU
rnacentral:miRNA from 1 species